GCACCGGCUAAUUCCGUGCCAGCAGCCGCGGUAAUACGGAAGGUGCAAGCGUUAAUCGGAAUUACUGGGCGUAAAGCGCGCGUAGGUGGUUUGUUAAGUUGGAUGUGAAAGCCCUGGGCUCAACCUAGGAACUGCAUCCAAAACUAACUCACUAGAGUACGAUAGAGGGAGGUAGAAUUCAUAGUGUAGCGGUGGAAUGCGUAGAUAUUAUGAAGAAUACCAGUGGCGAAGGCGGCCUCCUGGAUCUGUACUGACACUGAGGUGCGAAAGCGUGGGUAGCGAACAGGAUUAGAUACCCUGGUAGUCCACGCCGUAAACGAUGACAACUAGCUGUUAGGAGACUAUGUCUUUUAGUGGCGCAGCUAACGUUUUAAGUUGUCCGCCUGGGGAGUACGGCCGCAAGGCUAAAACUCAAAUGAAUUGACGGGGACCCGCACAAGCAGUGGAUCAUGUGGUUUAAUUCGAUGCAACGCGAAAAACCUUACCUACUCUUGACAUACUUGGAAGCUCUUGUAAUGAGAGUGUGCUUUUAAGAACCAAGAUACAGGUGCUGCAUGGCUGUCGUCAGCUCGUGUCGUGAGAUGUUCCGUUAAGUCGGAUAACGAGCGCAACCCUUACCCUUAUUUGCCAGCGAUUCGGUCGGGAACUAUAAGGGGACUGCCGGUGAUAAACCGGAGGAAGGUGAGGACGACGUCAAGUCAUCAUGGCCCUUACGAGUAGGGCUACACACGUGAUACAAUGGGAGAGACAGACGGACGCUAAGCCGCGAGGUGGUGCUAAUCCUAGAAACUCUCUCGUAGUCCGGAUUGGAGUCUGCAACUCGACUCCAUGAAGUUGGAAUUGCUAGUAAUCGCGGAUCAGCAUGCCGCGGUGAAUACGUUCUCGGGUCUUGUACACACCGCCCGUCACACCAUGGAAGUGGAUUGCACCAGAAGUAGAUAGUCUAACCUUAGGAGGGCGUUUACCACGGUG
rnacentral:rRNA from 1 species